UACGUAGGGUGCGAGCGUUGUCCGGAAUUAUUGGGCGUAAAGAGCUUGUAGGCGGUUUGUCGCGUCUGCUGUGAAAAUCCGGGGCUCAACCCCGGACUUGCAGUGGGUACGGGCAGACUAGAGUGUGGUAGGGGAGACUGGAAUUCCUGGUGUAGCGGUGGAAUGCGCAGAUAUCAGGAGGAACACCGGCGGCGAAGGCGGGAUCCUGGGCCAGUACUGACGCUGAGGAGCGAAAGCGUGGGGAGCAAACAGG
rnacentral:rRNA from 1 species